GGCGAACGUUUGCGGCGGGCUUAACACAUGCAAGUCGAACGGGCUGUUCCUUCGGGGGCAGUCAGUGGCGCACGGGUGCGUAACACGUAGGUAAUCAACCCUCUGGUUGGGGAUAACACUUCGAAAGGAGUGCUAAUACCCGGUAUGGCGCAGCGGUCUUCGGAUCGCGGCGAGAAAGACCCGCAAGGGUUGCCAGAGGACGAGCCUGCGGCCCAUCAGCUAGUUGGCGAGGUAACGGCUCACCAAGGCGAAGACGGGUAGCUGGUCUGAGAGGAUGAUCAGCCACACUGGAACUGAGACACGGUCCAGACUCCUACGGGAGGCAGCAGUGGGGAAUAUUGCGCAAUGGGCGAAAGCCUGACGCAGCCACGCCGCGUGAGCGAUGAAGGCC
rnacentral:rRNA from 1 species